CUAUUGUAGAGCAUCUAAUGGAGUAGGAUCGCAGCACACAGAUAGAGAUAGCUCAUCCAGAUAUAAUUGAGAGUCAUGAAAGGUUUCUUAAUAGCUGCAGUGCUUAUGUCAGGUCCCAGCUUAUGUCUGGCCACAUGUGACGGGGUUACUGGACCUAUGACGUUGACAGGAUGGACUGGUGCCAUCCAGAGUCCAGGUCUGGAACUGGGCAUGUACAACGAUCACCAGGACUGCGUGUGGGUCAUUAAUGUGACGUCAGCAGCUCGGGUCAAGCUGACCUUCGUCGAUUUCAAGUUACGGGGAAGACGUGUAGGAAUGUGUGAG